rnacentral:rRNA from 1 species
UGGGGAAUAUUGGACAAUGGGCGAAAGCCUGAUCCAGCCAUGCCGCGUGUGUGAAGAAGGUCUUCGGAUUGUAAAGCACUUUAAGUUGGGAGGAAGGGUUGUAGAUUAAUACUCUGCAAUUUUGACGUUACCGACAAAAUAAGCACCGGCUAACUCUGUGCCAGCAGCCGCGGUAAUACAGAGGGUGCAAGCGUUAAUCGGAAUUACUGGGCGUAAAGCGCGCGUAGGUGGUUUGUUAAGUUGGAUGUGAAAGCCCCGGGCUCAACCUGGGAACUGCAUCCAAAACUGGCAAGCUAGAGUACGGUAGAGGGUGGUGGAAUUUCCUGUGUAGCGGUGAAAUGCGUAGAUAUAGGAAGGAACACCAGUGGCGAAGGCGACCACCUGGACUGAUACUGACACUGAGGUGCGAAAGCGUGGGGAGCAAACA